rnacentral:rRNA from 1 species
UACGUAGGGGGCAAGCGUUGUCCGGAAUCAUUGGGCGUAAAGAGCGUGUAGGCGGCCCGGUAAGUCCGCCGUGAAAGUCCAGGGCUCAACCCUGGAAUGCCGGUGGAAACUGCCGGGCUGGAGUCCGGAAGAGGCGAGUGGAAUUCCUGGUGUAGCGGUGAAAUGCGCAGAUAUCAGGAGGAACACCAAUGGCGAAGGCAGCUCGCUGGGACGGUACUGACGCUGAGACGC